CGCCUCUUGCAUUCUAUGUAUAAGAGGUCCCGCCUGCCCUGUGACUAUAUGUUUAACGGCCGCGGUAUUUUGACCGUGCAAAGGUAGCGCAAUCACUUGUCUUUUAAAUAAAGACCUGUAUGAAUGGCAUGACGAGGGCUUAACUGUCUCCUUCUCCCGGUCAAUGAAAUUGAUCUCCCCGUGCAGAAGCGGGGAUAUUAUUAUAAGACGAGAAGACCCUGUGGAGCUUUAAAUGAUGAGAGAUUUUAUGCAACAAACCUAAAAAGGUAUAAGCGAAUUUAUACUCCCUCUAAUAUUUUUGGUUGGGGCGACCGCGGAGUAAAAAGAAACCUCCGUGAGGAAUGAGGUAAUUAACCUUAAAUCCCAGAACGACAAUUCAAAGAAACAAAAUUUUUGACCUAAAGAUCCGGCAAAGCCGAUCAACGAACCUAGUUACCCCAGGGAUAACAGCGCAAUCCCCUUCAAGAGUCCCUAUCGACAAGGGGGUUUACGACCUCGAUGUUGGAUCAGGAUAUCCUAAUGGUGUAGCCGCUAUUAAGGGUUCGU
rnacentral:rRNA from 1 species